GCUUGUCUCAAAGAUUAAGCCAUGCAUGUCUAAGUAUAAGCACCCUUAUACUGCGAAACUGCGUACAGCUCAUUAUAUCAGCAAUUAUUUAUUUGAAGGUCACCUAUUACAUGGAUAACCGUGGUAAUUCUUGAGCUAAUACAUGCGAAAAAUCUCGACUCACGGAGAGAUGCUUUUAUUAGAUCAAAACCAAACGGCUUCGGCCGUCUCAUUGGUGACUCUGAAUAACUUUGGGCUGAUCGUAUGGCCUUGUGCCGACGACGUUUCCUUCGAAGGUGUGCCCUAUCAACUGUCGACUGUGAUAUAGACGCUCACAGUGGUUUUGACGGGUAACGGGGAAUCAGGGUUCGAUUCCGGAGAGGGAGCCUUAAAAACGGCUACCACAUCCAAGGAAGGCAGCAGG
rnacentral:rRNA from 1 species